GCUCGGGCGGGAGUGCGGGCUCAGCCGCCGCCGCUGCCGGCACUCCUCACCAGGCAAUUUCCAUCCCUGUGCAUUUUCACGAAAAACAAAACAGAAGACUUGUUUUCUCACAAAAAAGAAGGCAAGGUUCAGCCACACCAGGUACCCACAUGGUCAGGAACUGACUUGCUUACUAAGACCAUUUGGGUUUGUGUCCUAUGAAGUCUUUUGACAAUACUGAGUAUACUUCCCAAUCUGCAAACAUGACUGCUGCUCUAACAGUAAGUGUUUAAUUUCCCCUUCCAACUGACCAAGACUAUUAGCUUACGUUACAGCAAGUAUAGUUAAGUUACUCCCAGUAAUAAUUUUAUUAGUGUAGUAUGCUAAGUAGUCAAGCUCAAAAUCUAUAGAAUAAUGCAAAUAAGUAUGUAUUCCUUUGCAAUGCUGGGAUGUAUUUUGGGGGCUGCAGGAGAGUUAUUUUAAUAUCCACUGAAUGAAUGAAUCACAUGUUACCAUGUUUUACAUAUUAUGUAAAAUAGCAAUAACCAUUCUUCCAAUUACAGAAGUAGUAAAUGUCGUUGUUAAAAAGUACAAUGAUAGGAUCUACCCCAGAAGAAAAGUAAAAUUCGCCAUAAUCUCAUCCCUUAGCAAUGUCUGUGUUAGUGUUUUGAUUAUACACAAUUUCAUACUUUUUCUGUGCCAUAUGUGUAAGUUUGUGAAAAUGGGACACAAACAUUUAAUUUGCUUCUUCCUUGUAACAAAUUUUUUCAUUCAUUUACUUAUUCAGCAAAUCUUUGUUUAGUUAAUCUCCUAUACAUGCAAGUCAGUCACCAUUCUAAGUGCAGAAGAGAUUACACUGAAAAAAAUGAUGAAGCACACAUAUAUUUCAGGUGUCUUUAACAAUAAAUGUAAAUAUAGCUAAAUACUUAUUUUAAUAGCUGCAUAAUUCUCUAUUGAAUAGAUUUAUCAUAACUUCUUAAAUCAGAUCUCCCAUUUUGGGUUAUCAAGAUGCUAUUUAUGUUUGUUAGGUUUUCUUCAAUAUUAAGAGGAUAUGCAUGAUC